UACGUAGGUGGCAAGCGUUGUCCGGAAUUAUUGGGCGUAAAGGGCGCGUAGGCGGCAUCCUAAGUCAGAUGUGAAAACCCGGGGCUUAACUCCGGGAUGGCAUUUGAAACUGGGAAGCUAGAGUGCAGGAGAGGUAAGUGGAAUUCCUAGUGUAGCGGUGAAAUGCGUAGAUAUUAGGAGGAACACCAGUGGCGAAGGCGACUUACUGGACUGUAACUGACGCUGAGGCGGCGAAAGCGUGGGGAGCAAACAGG
rnacentral:rRNA from 1 species